CCCAAGUGGCCCGCCAGACCUAAAUGAACACACAGAGCAGGCGAUGCCAAACAUGCCAUCCGCACGUUCGCUUCACAGCACCAGCGCCAGACCUGCGGCACUGACAGCGCCGUGCAGCUCCGCAGCCCCCGGCGACGCUCACAGCCACGGCAGCAUCACCUCCUGUUAGCAGCCUAACGUGGGGACAGGUCGCCGAGCAGGAGGAGUAGGCCGCCCAGAGUUGGCUCUGCCUGGGCGCCUGCCCCGUGCCGGCUUGGCUACCUGGUGACCGAUCUGCUCGGGCCAUGCAGGUCUCAGGGGUGCUGCGUGUGCUCAGAGCCGUGCUGGGGGCCUCACCACUCCCCCUCCCGGGGAGCCCCGGGGAGAUGGAGAAGCGCAAGGGCAGAGGCAGGUCUACAGGACAGCACGGGGACACCACAUGCCGGAGGUGAGGACAGAGGCUACGAAGACAAACACGUGGACAGGCCCAGGAGAAGCUGGAAGCCGAGACUGUACAGUAAGAGGCAGGAGCCCAGGCCUCUCAGCUAGCUCUGCAGAGGGGCCUGCUGGGGGCUCAGCUUGGGACGGAGGGAGGAGAAGCUGAACCCUGGCUCCUCCGUACCCCAUUUCCUCACCCACUGGAUGGGCCAUGCCCAGCGUCCUCUCUAACCCCCAACAGUGAGGGAGCCUUUGAGGGGGAGGCAGGAGUGGACCCAGGGUCUUCCAGCUCAGCUAGCUAAAUGUUUUUAAAAUUUGUUUCAAGACAAGGUCUAAGUUACUCAAGCUGGGCUUGAACUUUGAUCUUCCUGUCUCAGCCUCCCUGAGCGCUGGGAUCAUACGCAGGAGCCACCACAGCAGCUUCAGGGCGUGGGGACCUUGAAGACACCCCCAGUCCCACUCAUCCGCUAGUGCACAAGCCACUGGGCCACAGAGGCCAUCAGGAGGAGGGAGAGGUCAAGGCUUGGAUUUCACCGUGGGCAAGUAGGGUCCGACCCACUGGGAAGCCUGAGGCAGCCUCUGUGCACCCGGAAGGGUGGGUGGCGCUGCCUUUCCGGCUCCUGUGGACUAAGGCCCAUGGGGCAGCUUUGGAAUGGGGCAGGGGACAGUGUUCCCCACCCUCCGACUCUGGGACUCAGGACUCCACGGCAAAAAGGCUGAGGCUGCAGGAAGGCCACAGACAUGCGGCUCAGAGAGGCAGGCUCGGGCCACCCCAGGGCGCAAGGGGGCCACCUGCCCUGCCGUGUGGACACAGCUGACCCUUCUGGAGCCACAGCCCUCAACCAGCAGCACCUCAGGUUCAGGAGACGCCACAACCUGUGGAAACCAGGCUCACUUGGCUGGAUGGGCACCUGCUCCCUGACUGCCAGCCCUGUCAAGGUCAUCAAAAUGUCCCCAGAGGACACAGUGCCUUGGGCCCUGCGGGGGAAGAAGGCUAGAGCCCCUCUUAGGCAGCCCCAAGCCCUCAGCCUGCUGAGCCACCACUGCUGAGGACCAGGGUUGGGAACAAAAGGGAAUAGCCAAACCUUGGCUCCGCACAGGGCAGCAGGUGGCAGUCAGCUGGCCAGAGCGGCCACUCGGGCUGCCUGCCCCGGCUCCAGCCGGGUUAUAAAAUGCAGCACCAGCAUGUGCGCGAAGGAGCCCUGCUCUGCCAUGGUGCCGAGGGGAGGCAGGGGUUUCCAUGGCUACAGCAGCAGAGGCGAAGGUAGAGGCACAACCCGGGCAGACGUUCACAUGCCAGCUCCUGCCUGGGCUGGCCUCCACCCAUGCCUACCACACGGCCCUCCCAGGGGCAGGCAGCAGGCCCCACUGAGGACACGCUUUCUAUGCCACAGAAAGGACAGAACAGGGACAGUAGGGGGCAGAGGGCGGGUAGCCCCAGGCCCCACCACCGCGCCCCAGGCAGCUGGCAGCCCUGGCACUGCCACCCUGGUGGCCGCAAUCACCCUGACUGUGGCAGCUGUCACUCGGCCAGGCUGAGGCAGGCGGCUUGGUGAGGAGCACCCAGAAGUUACCUGUGAGGAUGUUUUCAGACAGCACGUUGACCUGGACUUCUACAGAGUGCUUCGAGGUGUAGGUGAUCUCCGCGCUGACGUGAGCUACCUCGCCGAUGCACAUGGGCGACAGGAAGUCAGUACGCUCGACCCGGGCCAGGGCGGCCACGCAACGUUCCUGCAGGACCAGAGUCACCGUGAGCUCAGCGAGCCCUGACAGAUAGGCCCCUCCCAGGGCAGCCGCCUCUGAUGUGGAUGCCCACCUUGACUAAGGUGACAUCUACACUGCCCCCCAAAAGCCGCAUGUGUCCAGAGUGAAUGAGUUCAGUGCGGUAGGAGGGGGGCCUGGCUGGACAUGGGCACCCCACAGCCUGGGCGGGAUCUUGUCCUGGCUCCUCCCUUCUCUCCCUGCUUCCUGGUGCCCAUGGUGGGAACACCCACUCCUCUGCCAGGACCCUCUGCCAUCCUGUUUCUACCUGGGAGCUAGCUGCCUAUGCUUGAAAGCCGAGAGUGAACACAAACCUCCCCGCUUGAGAUCGUGGGUACUGGGUAUCAUGUCUCAGCUACACAAAAGUGACUCAGACACCCACUGUGAAAGCGAGGCAGGUUGCUGACAACAGGGUCCCAGGUGUCAAAGCACAGGACCAGAGCCAUGGCUACACUGGAGCAGCGCUGGAGCUGAGGUCCGCACAGCCUCCUAACAGCAGAAGAGACACAAGGAGGGGCAGGGGCAGGGGCAGGAGACCGAGCAGGGGAGAAGCAGCGCUGUGCUGAGAGCUUCGCAGGCCUGUCCCGGGGAUGCGGUGUUGAUGGCUGAUCUGCUGGCUUGCCUGGGUCCUUGUUCACAGCUGGUGUGGGUGGUGCUGGGGAUGGAACUCAGGCUCCCUAGCAGUGAACUUUGAGGUUAUAUCACUGGGCUGAACUUAAAUACGCACUUCUACAUCCUGAUCUUUCUCACACAAUGUGGGAAAAAUAACCCGCCUACUGGGACUGUGCUAUUUUCCAUCAUUCGUUUAUCCGUUAGGUUUUAUCUUUCGACAGGGCAGCAACAGGUGUGGUCGCAGUCACCUGGUCCCCCAGCCACCCAUUGCCAUGUGUCUGCUAACACAUGUCCUCAGCUCUCUCGCUGUAGCUCCCAGGUGCAGCAAACAGCCAGCCCACCCCGCCCAGCCACUCUCUCCCUUUACCCCUACAGGGGAACCGGGGGACUCUGGAGUCUUGCAUCACAAGGCACUGCCCCCCUUCAUGAGCUCCACCCUCCUGCCCUGAUCAUCUCCACAGCUCUGCCUUGCAGAAGGUCAUCCUGAGCGGCAGGAUUUCACACGGGAAUCCUGGAGGGACACCAACCAUCCACGACAGCACCGGAAGGACCUCCUCUGACCUUCCCUGAUACCACUCCGCCAAGUUACUUUUAAUGAAUGAAGAGAACUGAGCCCUCUUAUUAAAGAUCUGGUCAACCUCCACUAUUUCUUUUCAAAAACAACCUCUGGGCUUGGGACAACCCCUAGGUCCAAGGGAUGACUAUCACGAUCCAUGUUCCCAAAGUCCUUCUCAACAGCAACCGCGCCCCUUCUGGACCACAAGUCAUCCUGCAGGACUGGGACUGAACCCUGCUACACACCCAGCCCUUUUUAAUUUGAGGCAGGCUCUCACGUAGUCCCAAAGUUGUCCAGGCUAGUCUUGAACUUAUGAUUCUCUUGCCUCAGCCUCCCUGACUGCUGUGAUUACAGGCAUGCGCCACCA